rnacentral:rRNA from 1 species
UACGUAGGGCGCAAGCGUUGUCCGGAAUUAUUGGGCGUAAAGAGCUCGUAGGCGGCUUGUCACGUCGGGUGUGAAAGCCCGGGGCUUAACCCCGGGUCUGCAUUCGAUACGGGCUAGCUAGAGUGUGGUAGGGGAGAUCGGAAUUCCUGGUGUAGCGGUGAAAUGCGCAGAUAUCAGGAGGAACACCGGUGGCGAAGGCGGAUCUCUGGGCCAUUACUGACGCUGAGGAGCGAAAGCGUGGGGAGCGAACAGGAUUAGAAACCCCCGUAGUCC